AACUAUGCCUACUUAUCAGGAAUGUUCUUUCGAAAACCUCACCUUUCAUUACUUGUUGAGCCUUCAGAUAUUUUGGCUUUUUUAGUUAUAAACCUUGCAAUAUGUAUAGAUAUCUUAGAGUAAAGUCACCAUCUUAUUCAUUGCUGAUCAAGUUUUAGAAGCAUAACAUCUUCCUAUAUCGUCAUGAAUCCGCAUUAGGUGAUUCCGUUAUCUAUUCUUUCUAAAUUGCUUGAUAAAUGCUAAUGUAAGACAAAUUUAUCUAAUACAUGCUAAGUUGGACAGGCCAAAGACGUAACAGUUUAGGUUCCUUGAAGGGGGCAGCAAAAAUCUUCAUCCCAGGAUUUGGAUGCAUUCUCAGCUGCAGUGAUUGUUAGUAUUGCAUUUUCAUUCAUUCCUUCAUCAUUUGCCGCUCCUAUUGUGAAGUGUAUAGAUGUCGCGGUUGAACACUCAUCGUCGAAGUGUGACCAAUGUGCCUCCUGCAUUAUCAGCAUCUACUGCUCCAGGCAUGAGUGCUCCAUUGAUUGGGGAGCCUACACCCCUUACUGAGACUACUCCUACGACGACCCAGCCGCCCGUCUCAUCGAUGUCAUCAGUGUCGGUUCAAUCGCUUAGUGCACGGUGGCCUCACCGGCGCCGCCAUGAGCCUGAGCCUUCUAAUCACACUUCCUCGGCAUCCAGAGUCGAGGGUGAGGCCUCCCAGCUAGGUAGUUUUUUCUAAUUCUCACUACGUUGUAUUUUUUUUUUUCAUUUUAAAACUAUUAUGUUUAUGAUGGUGAAAAUUUGCUGCAUUGUGAAAAUGUGUUACGGGUUGUGAAUUACUGUUUUAAGGUUUUGGGAAAUGCUAUACUAUUAGGGGAGGUUGUGUCAAAUUUUUUGUACAAUUUAAGCUUAAGGUUUUCACCAUUUAAGUAUUUUGGCCAGCUAAAAAAAACACUAGGGGGCUUAGUCGAAUGCUGAAGCAGGCACAAGGCGUACGUCAGGCCGCCUCCAAGAUCAAGAUUGCAUAUGACCCGCGACAUUGUGGAGCGGCUACCUCAUAACAGCAUAGCAGUGUCGUUAGUAGUUGUGGUGUUGUUAUUCGACAAAAUUGUCCUUUUCAGUGGGACUCUUGGGUAGAAAUUCUCGAGGAGAUGAAGAAACUGGUGCGACACAAGUUGUCGGUCAUUUAUGAUCUUGAGGAUAUAUUCCCCGAGGCCAUGGCCUACUUAGAGGUGGCCUUAGCAACCCGGUACUAACAAUGGAAGAAUAAUUUUCAAACGUAUUUUAAGCAAUGGGAUGAUCCAGAGAUUGCUCGCCUACAUGUUCCAAUUGAGUUGCAGGACAGACCGGAGGAUUGGCAGUGGCUUUGCAAACAUUUUAUGGACCCAAAAUUUGUGGUACGUACAUAAUAUUUUAAUAAUAAUUUAUUAUUGUUUUAGUUAUUUUUUCUUACUAAUUUAUUUCAAAUAGUCGCACUAACAUGUAUAUUUUGCGUUUAACAGAAGAAAUCUGCUGCUGGCAAGAAAGCUCGUGAGUUAAAGAAACUUCUCCACCAUUCCGGUUCAAUGCCCUUUUCGUAUAGGCUUGAGGCACGACGUCAGGUAAAAGUAUAUUAACUUUGAAAUUUUAUACAAUUUUUUUA